rnacentral:rRNA from 1 species
CGACCGGCGCACGGGUGCGUAACGCGUAUGCAACCUACCUUUGACAGGGGGAUAACACUGAGAAAUUGGUACUAAUACCCCAUAAUAUCAUAGAAGGCAUCUUUUAUGGUUGAAAAUUCCGAUGGUUAGAGAUGGGCAUGCGUUGUAUUAGCUAGUUGGUGGGGUAACGGCUCACCAAGGCGACGAUACAUAGGGGGACUGAGAGGUUAACCCCCCACACUGGUACUGAGACACGGACCAG